rnacentral:rRNA from 2 species
AGCGGCGGACGGGUGAGUAACACGUGGGUAACCUGCCUGUAAGAUUGGGAUAACUCCGGGAAACCGGAGCUAAUACCGGAUAACAUUUUGAACCGCAUGGUUCAAAAUUGAAAGACGGCUUUGGCUAUCACUUACAGAUGGACCCGCGGCGCAUUAGCUAGUUGGUGAGGUAACGGCUCACCAAGGCAACGAUGCGUAGCCGACCUGAGAGGGUGAUCGGCCACACUGGGACUGAGACACGGCCCAGACUCCUACGGGAGGCAGCAGUAGGGAAUCUUCCGCAAUGGACGAAAGUCUGACGGAGCAACGCCGCGUGAACGAUGAAGGCCUUCGGGUCGUAAAGUUCUGUUGUUAGGGAAGAACAAGUACCAGAGUAACUGCUGGUACCUUGACGGUACCUAACCAGAAAGCCACGGCUAACUACGUGCCAGCAGCCGCGGUAAUACGUAGGUGGCAAGCGUUGUCCGGAAUUAUUGGGCGUAAAGCGCGCGCAGGCGGUUUCUUAAGUCUGAUGUGAAAGCCCACGGCUCAACCGUGGAGGGUCAUUGGAAACUGGGGAACUUGAGUGCAGAAGAGGAGAGUGGAAUUCCACGUGUAGCG